GGAAUUCCAUCCAGAUCAAGACUGCGUAUCUUAAAGGAGGUCUUCAGAAGUAUCAUGGAAUUGCAAGAUUGUAGUUCUCUAACUUUUUUAACAUUGCAGGUUGUGAAGCAGAAGAAGUAAUGAAGACGCAUUACAAAAGGAAUGUACACCAAGAAGCAUCCAGUUCAAGUCAAGACCUUUGUCACCUGAAAAACGUUUAGCAUGUAAUUUCAUCCAGAUGAAGACCAUGGUUAUCUAGGAUGGCAACAGCUUUAAAGAUUGCUUGUACAUAAGAGGUAUUACAGG